UAAAGAAAACGUCGAAGCUCGCGAUGUCCCAAGUUUCGUUAUUUAUUCGGUGGUCUCGUUACACUGCUCUUGGCCUUGGUAUAAUCUACGGGUACCUUAAGGACAUUUCUGUUCAAAAUCGAAAUGCUGAGUUAUACGCCAUCGAAAAGAAGCGUAAAGAGGCCGAAAAAAUUAAUUGGGAAGAACAUCAGAAGUCAAUCAGCGCCAAUAAUACUGUAGGUUUAACAAGACUUGAAGGGUCGGACAUAACUGAAGAACAGUAUUUUUCUUGGUUAAGUAAUCAACUUAAUUCCAGUCCCGUUUAGACACAGUAAUGACAAACUUUUUAUGUUACCUCUGAAUUUUACUUCUAUUCUAUUUAAA